rnacentral:tRNA from 1 species
GCCUUUGUGGUGUAAUGGCAGCACACAUGGCGCGUAUUCUAGAGGUCCGGGUUCGAGUCCCGGCGAGAGUA